rnacentral:rRNA from 1 species
UACAGAGGUCUCAAGCGUUGUUCGGAUUCAUUGGGCGUAAAGGGUGCGUAGGCGGCGCGGUAAGCCGGGUGUGAAAUCUCGGAGCUUAACUCCGAAACUGCAUUCGAUACUGCCGUGCUUGAGGACUGGAGAGGAGACUGGAAUUUACGGUGUAGCGGUGAAAUGCGUAGAUAUCGUAAGGAAGACCAGUGGCGAAGGCGGGUCUCUGGACAGUUCCUGACGCUGAGGCACGAAAGCGUGGGGAGCAAACAGG